AAGACAUAGGUCCAAUAUACUGAGUUAUGGCAGCGGAUGACGGUGGGUGGAUUUAGUGCGCUAAGACUUAAAAGCAUGUUUCAAGUCAAUUUCUCCCUCUAGACUGCGCCGUCUUGCCCUUACUCUGCCCACCAUCAGUUCAGCUCCUAUGCUCGUGCACAUCACACGACACAAGGCCAUCAGCAGCAGUGGCUUCCAGUGCUGUCCCAGCUACAGAGAACUCAGACCUCAUACUCUGUUGAUACAGCCUUUGCAAGGGUCUGUCAUUCAGUGAUUUUAUGUCUCACUCCUGCUGCCCCUGGGCUGUGAGACCAAUGACUCUGGAGCCAGACUGUUGGGAGACCCAGGGCUGCUGUUGUCUGAGCUGCAGAGGAGACACGGAUCCCUGCUAAAGCUAAUUUAAACCUGG
rnacentral:lncRNA from 1 species